rnacentral:tRNA from 1 species
ACCUGGGUGGCUUAGUUGGUUGAGCAUCUGACUUCAGCUCAGGUCAUGAACUCACGGUUUGUGAGUUCAAGCCCCUCAUCAGGCU